AUGGAGGGAGUAUUUUUUUUUCAGUAUUUUUAUUUUAAUUUUUUAAUAAUUCAUUUAUUUCUCCAUAUAUUUUUAUUUUUUUUCAAGAAUUAUGUUUUUCAGUAUUUUAUUUAAAUUUCUUUUUCAGGCAUUAUUUCUUUGUUUUUUCAUAUUUCUUUAGAAAUAAAGUUAGCAGAAACGGUUUCUUACCAAACAACAUCAUUUAGAUCGUUUAAUUCCUUGAUGGC
rnacentral:lncRNA from 1 species